AGGGCUUGACAUCCCCUGACAACACCGGAAACGGUGCCUUCCCGGCUUGCCGGGACAGGGUGAC
rnacentral:rRNA from 1 species